GACGAACGCUGGCGGCGUGCUUAACACAUGCAAGUCGAACGGAAAGGCCCUGCUUUUGUGGGGUGCUCGAGUGGCGAACGGGUGAGUAACACGUGAGUAACCUGCCCUUGACUUUGGGAUAACUUCAGGAAACUGGGGCUAAUACCGGAUAGGAGCUCCUGCUGCAUGGUGGGGGUUGGAAAGUUUCGGCGGUUGGGGAUGGACUCGCGGCUUAUCAGCUUGUUGGUGGGGUAGUGGCUUACCAAGGCUUUGACGGGUAGCCGGCCUGAGAGGGUGACCGGCCACAUUGGGACUGAGAUACGGCCCAGACUCCUACGGGAGGCAGCAGUGGGGAAUAUUGCACAAUGGGCGGAAGCCUGAUGCAGCAACGCCGCGUGCGGGAUGACGGCCUUCGGGUUGUAAACCGCUUUCGCCUGUGACGAAGCGUGAGUGACGGUAAUGGGUAAAGAAGCGCCGGCUAACUACGUGCCAGCAGCCGCGGUGAUACGUAGGGUGCGAGCGUUGUCCGGAUUUAUUGGGCGUAAAGGGCUCGUAGGUGGUUGAUCGCGUCGGAAGUGUAAUCUUGGGGCUUAACCCUGAGCGUGCUUUCGAUACGGGUUGACUUGAGGAAGGUAGGGGAGAAUGGAAUUCCUGGUGGAGCGGUGGAAUGCGCAGAUAUCAGGAGGAACACCAGUGGCGAAGGCGGUUCUCUGGGCCUUUCCUGACGCUGAGGAGCGAAAGCGUGGGGAGCGAACAGGCUUAGAUACCCUGGUAGUCCACGCUGUAAACGGUGGGUACUAGGUGUGGGGUCCAUUCCACGGGUUCCGUGCCGUAGCUAACGCUUUAAGUACCCCGCCUGGGGAGUACGGCCGCAAGGCUAAAACUCAAAGGAAUUGUCGGGGCCCCGCACAAGCGGCGGAGCAUGCGGAUUAAUUCGAUGCAACGCGUAGAACCUUACCUGGGUUUGACAUGGAUCGGGAGUGCUCAGAGAUGGGUGUGCCUCUUUUGGGGUCGGUUCACAGGUGGUGCAUGGCUGUCGUCAGCUCGUGUCGUGAGAUGUUGGGUUAAGUCCCGCAACGAGCGCAACCCUUGUUCACUGUUGCCAGCACGUUAUGGUGGGGACUCAGUGGAGACCGCCGGGGUCAACUCGGAGGAAGGUGGGGAUGACGUCAAGUCAUCAUGCCCCUUAUGUCCAGGGCUUCACGCAUGCUACAAUGGCUGGUACAGAGAGUGGCGAGCCUGUGAGGGUGAGCGAAUCUCGGAAAGCCGGUCUCAGUUCGGAUUGGGGUCUGCAACUCGACCUCAUGAAGUCGGAGUCGCUAGUAAUCGCAGAUCAGCAACGCUGCGGUGAAUACGUUCCCGGGGCUUGUACUCACCGCCCGUCAAGGGCGAAUUCCAGCA
rnacentral:rRNA from 1 species